rnacentral:ncRNA from 1 species
GUUUAGGUUGGCGGCUCUAACGACAUCGUAGCAACCUAGAUACAAGCGUUACUAGCAGGGUAAGAGGAUGUAACAACGCAAUAUCGGUGGCGAAGUUAGUGCCGAUUCCUCGCAAGACUGACGGGU